rnacentral:rRNA from 1 species
UGGGGAAUUUUGGACAAUGGGCGCAAGCCUGAUCCAGCCAUACCGCGUGAGUGAAGAAGGCCUUCGGGUUGUAAAGCUCUUUCAGACGGAAAGAAACGGUUACGGCUAAUACCCGUGACUAAUGACGGUACCGUAAGAAGAAGCACCGGCUAACUACGUGCCAGCAGCCGCGGUAAUACGUAGGGUGCGAGCGUUAAUCGGAAUUACUGGGCGUAAAGCGUGCGCAGGCGGUUUGGUAAGACAGAUGUGAAAUCCCCGGGCUUAACCUGGGAACUGCAUUUGUGACUGCCAGACUAGAGUGUAGCAGAGGGGGGUAGAAUUCCACGUGUAGCAGUGAAAUGCGUAGAUAUGUGGAGGAAUACCGAUGGCGAAGGCAGCCCCCUGGGCUAACACUGACGCUCAUGCACGAAAGCGUGGGGAGCAAACAGGAUUAGAUACCCUUGUAGUCCCUGAGCGGGCUGGCAAGGCGCAU